rnacentral:tRNA from 1 species
GGAGAAAGGUCGUUUUGACGACUCCUCGGGCUUCAAAACCGCGAGUGGUGCUGUAGAACAGUGCUGGGUGGGUUCGAUUCCCACGUACCUCCGCCA